rnacentral:lncRNA from 1 species
CUGGAUCCCUCUCUCAGGUUCAUCAAUCCUCUCAAAUUUCUUAUCCUGUUGAAGGAUUUUUGUCUUAUCUUAUGAAUCAUUUUCCCCAAAACAUCGAGCUUACCUUAUGUCAGUUCAAUCUUCUCAUGAACCUGAACACCCAUUUGUUUUUGAAUGCUAUCUUGCCCUUAGGUUAGGCAGUUUCACCAACUCAAAUGUGUGGUUCUCAUGCAAGGAUUUUUUCUCUUCUGGCAUGGCUUUUAUCCACUCUCCCUUGUGCUUAUAAGACAUAGC